rnacentral:tRNA from 1 species
GGUGGUGUAGUUCAGUGGUAGAACACUUGUUUAGCGUUCAUCAGAGCCUUGGUGUAAUCCCCCAGCACUACCA